CGCAGAGUAUGCUAAGGCGCUUGAGAGAACUGUAUUGAAGGAACUAGGCAAAUUGCCCUCGUAACUUCGGAAGAAGAGGGCCCGAUUCUUACGCAAGUAGGAGUCGGGGGCACAUAGCAGGGGGUGGCGACUGUUUACUAAAAACACAGGACGCUGCGAAAUCCAAAGAUGACGUAUAGCGUCUGACGCCUGCCCUGUGCUGGAAGGUUAAGAGGAGAUGUGAAAGCGUUGAAUCGAAGCCCCAGUAAACGGCGGCCGUAACAAUAACGGUCCUAAGGUAUCGAAAUUCCUUGUCGGGUAAGUUCCGACCUGCACGAAAGGCGUAACGACUUCCCCACUGUCUCCAAUACAGGCUCAGCGAAAUUGAAUUCCCCGUGAAGAUGCGGGGUUCCCGCGGUCAGACGGAAAGACCCCGUGCACCUUUACUGCAACUUUACACUGGCAUUAGGAAUGGGAUGUGUAGAAUAGGUGGUAGGCAUUGAAGCCGAGGCGCUAGCCUUGGCGGAGCCGAAAUGUGAAAUACCACCCUUCUUGUUCCUGAUGUCUAACCGCGGUCCCGAAACGGGAUCCGAGACAGUGUAUGGUAGGCAGUUUGACUGGGGCGGUCGCCUCCCAAAGAGUAACGGAGGCGCGCGAUGGUAGGCUCAAUCCGGUCGGAAAUCGGAUGGUGAGUGCAAUGGCAAAAGCCUGCCUGACUGCAAGGUCGACGGACCAAGCAGAGACGAAAGUCGGUCAUAGUGAUCCGGUGAUCCCGAAUGGAAGGGUCAUCGCUCAACGGAUAAAAGGUACGCCGGGGAUAACAGGCUGAUCGCACCCAAGCGUCCAUAGCGACGGUGCGGUUUGGCACCUCGAUGUCGGCUCAUCACAUCCUGGGGCUGUAGCCGGUCCCAAGGGUAUGGCUGUUCGCCAUUUAAAGUGGUACGUGAGCUGGGUUUAGAACGUCGUGAGACAGUUCGGUCCCUAUCUGCCGUGGGUGUUCGAAACUUGAGAAGACUUUUUCCUAGUACGAGAGGACCGGAAAGAACGUAUCUCUGGUGGAUCGGUUGUCACGCCAGUGGCAUAGCCGAGUAGCUAAAUACGGACGAGAUAACCGCUGAAAGCAUCUAAGCGGGAAACUCACUUCAAAACUAGGUUUCGCUUGAGAGCCGGGGAAGACUACCCCGUCGAUAGGCCAGGUGUGUAAGCGCAGCAAUGCGUUGAGCUGACUGGUACUAAUUGCCC
rnacentral:rRNA from 1 species